GCCCGCCCGCGGGUUUGGGUCGGUCGCGCGCCGCUCGCUGAGCAUCCUUCCGGCCGCGCACCUGCCCCGCGCACCUGCCGCCAGCUGCUCUGCGCUCGGCUCGGUGCUCACGAUCCGCGUGCUCUGGCCGGUCCCGGCCCUGCCUGCGUGUCCUCCCCGUGCCUCAGCCGGGCCCGGGCUCAGCGCUGCGGAGGGCGAGGGCAGCCCGGAGCGCGGCCCGGGCCGGUGCGGCGAUGAUGAACAGGUUCCGAAAGUGGUUAUACAAACCCAAGAGGUCAGACCCACAGCUGCUGGCCCAGUUCUACUAUGCUGAUGAGGAGCUGAACCAGGUGGCUGCAGAACUGGACAGCCUGGAUGGGCGGAAGGAGCCCCAGCGGUGCACACUGCUUGUCAGCCAGUUCCGCUCCUGCCAGGACAAUGUGUUAAACAUCAUUAAUCAGAUCAUGGAGGAGUGCAUCCCUCAGGACCGUGCCCCUCGGGAUUUCUGCGUCAAGUUUCCCGAGGAGAUCCGGCAUGACAACUUGGCUGGCCAGUUGUGGUUCGGGGCUGAGUGCCUGGCAGCUGGCUCCAUCAUCAUGAAUCGUGAGCUCGAGAGCAUGGCUAUGCGGCCACUAGCCAAGGAGCUGACUCGCAGCCUGGAGGAUGUGCGGGGCACUCUCCGUGACCAGGCACUACGAGACCUCAACACCUACACGGAGAAGAUGCGGGAGGCACUGAGGCAUUUUGAUGUUCUGUUUGCUGAGUUUGAGCUCAGCUAUGUCUCAGCCAUGGUGCCUGUGAAGUCCCCCAGAGAGUACUAUGUGCAGCAGGAGGUCAUUGUGCUCUUCUGCGAGACAGUGGAGAGAGCCUUGGAUUUCGGGUAUCUGACCCAGGACAUGAUUGAUGACUACGAACCUGCCCUCAUGUUCACCAUUCCUCGGCUGGCCAUCGUGUGUGGCCUUGUGGUCUAUGCAGAUGGACCCCUGAACUUGGACCGGAAGGUGGAGGACAUGUCUGAGCUGUUCCGGCCCUUCCACACGUUGCUGAGGAAAAUAAGGGAUCUGCUGCAGGCGCUGACUGAGGAGGAGCUGCACACACUGGAGCGGAGCCUCUGUGUUUCUCAGGAUGUGGAGCUCCCGAUCCGGGCAGACGCCCAGGCACCCAGUGCCCUGGCACCUACCUUUUCUGCAUCCCUUCCCCCUGAGGAGCCACUUUCAGCCAGUGCCAGCAACCCAGAGGCAGAACUGGCCUGCUCAAUGCAGUAUGAUGAUCAGGAGUUGGAGGAGCUCAGCCGCAUGGUCCACAGGGCUGGAGACGAGAUGUCAUCUCUGCUUUCACCUCCCAGUGCCUGCCAGUCCCCAGCACAUAGGCCAGGCACAGAGGCCAGCCCCCGAGCAGAAGCCUCUCCAGCCAGAGCCCAGCUGAAAUCAAGCAGUGAUGAGGAGGAGAGGGUAUUCUUCAUGGAUGACGUGGAAGUGACAGAGUCUUCUGCCAGGUCGGAAUCCCCAGGGGGUACAUUUGAGUUGACAGGUAGCAGGGAGGGCAAUGUUCCGCAGAGAAUACAAGAUAGCCGGAGCGGAGAGGUAGGGGUCAGUGCACCUUCCCUGGUAAAGGAGGAAGACCGGAGCAACAACAACAUUGAGGAUGACAAGAUAAAGCUGGCCAGCCUUGUGGGCUCCACUUCCUGCAGCUGUCUGGACUCACAGCUCUCCCUGGAUGGCUGGGAGGUGAGUGCAGACAAUGCCGAGACAGCCGAGAUGAUUGCACACCGGACCGGGGGCAUGAAACUUUCGGCCACUGUCAUCUUCAAUCCCAAGUCUCCCACCUCCUUGGACUCUGCCGGGGCAACCCAAGAAGCCACAGGCCAUGGUAUGUCCCCGUUGGAGCCCAGGGCAGAGGGGACAGGGGACAAGUCACACAAACUCGGCGCUGCAGCCACCAGCUGCCUCCUCCACUCCUGUGUGUGCUGUGGGAGCUGUGGGGACAGCAGGGAGGAUGCGGUGGAGCGCCUGCGGGAGAAGUGUGUCCCAGGAAGCAUCAUCAGUGCCUCUAACCCUUCUGUAAGCUUAGCCAAGGCUGGGGACAAAGAGCCUGAGAGACUAGAUGAAGCCUGGCCUUCUCCCGAUGUCACCCUGCCUGCAGAAGAUGCCUCCAAUGGGCAGGAGCCCAAAGCCCCUGCUUCCAACAAGUGCCUGGCACACACCUCAGGGCCUCAGGUGGACACAGCAAGCAGGUUGCAAGGAGAGGGUGAGGUCAAAGGCCAGCCAGAGCCAGAGACCAGAAAUCAGGACCCUGAGAAGUCCUCUGUGGUCAGGGAGGACAGUACAGGAGAAGCCCAACACCUGUCAGGCUCCAGAGCGAUGUCCACACUCCAGCUGUUGUAGAGGGUGCUGCUGUGGCCAGCUGCUGCAGAGGGCUCUCCUGUUCCAUAAAGCCUUUCCUCGGAGGCAGCCCCGGCUUUGCAGCCAUGUCAAGUGGAAUGAAUUAACUUCCCAAAGGCUGCCAGUAGCUGCUUUGAGGCUCGUGGCUGAGUUUAUUGGUAAGAGCCAGCAAACAUCUACCAUCUGGAAGGGCCCUUCACAACAUGCCUCUGUAUUUAGGCCCAGCCCAGCUCAGCACACACUCAAAACUCAGCUAUGAAAAGUUGAGAAAACCCACCUGGUGGCUCAGAAGACCUCCCACCUUCGAGGAAGCCUGUUGAGAAGAUACAAAGGGUUUGAAGAGCAAGUAUUCGGCAGGAGGCCAGGACCUCGGACAGCCAUAUGUUGGCCCAGCACUGUGCUUUAGGGAGCUGGAAGAAGUCAGCCUACAGCUACCUGUCUGUUACUCCUGUCCCAGCACUGGUGGAACUGGCAUGGGAGCAUUGGUCACGUGUUCUGUGUCAUGAGCCAGGUGCCGGAACCUACCCAAGAACCAGAUGGAUGUAGCAGGUCCUUCAGGCCUACAAGGAGAUGAUACAGCAGUGUGUUUUCAAACAGAGGCAAGAGGCUGGCCACACACAGGCAGAACAUUUGCUGAAAUGCAGAGUGAGACAUGAGGAGGUCUGGCUAGUGGGACAGCAUUGUGACAAAGCUUUCUCAUGACACAUGUGGUCUCAUACACAGGGGUGGUCUAUUGGGGUUCUCUAAAGGAACAGAACUGAGAGGAGAUAUCUAUAUCUAUACCUCUGUAUAUGGAUUUAUUAGAUUGGCUUAGCGGAUGCAGUCAGAGUACUGCAUCAGUGGCUGUCUCAUGCUGGUAAGGCUGAGAACCUGGUAGUUGUUCAGUCCUUGGCUGGAUGUCUCAGCAGUCCCAGUUUGGGACUGUAGUCCUGGAGGAUUCCUGGGGAACUGCUGAUCUUCAGUCCACGUUGCAAUCCUGAAGAAGCUAGUUCUAAUAGAGUUGAAGGAAUGCCUCAGCAACAGGAUAGAUGAGCAGUGAGAGUGAGGACAAGCAGGCAGAAAGCAACAUUUCCUUCUUCUCUGUUCUUCUAUGUGGGCUGCAAGCAGGUGUCGCCCACAUUUAGUGUGGGACAUCCUGCUUCAAAUAACUUGACAAGGAAAAUCCCUUACAGCAUCUUGGGUUUCAAUUGCAUUCCAUAUGCAGUCAAGUUGACAGUCAAGAUUAUCCAUCACAAGUGGGUCAUGAUUCUCCUCUAAUUCUGCAAAUGGGGGACAAACCUAGAUGCUAAUGUCUGCCUCUCCCUGGUAUCCCUGAAAGGGACAGUUACCUUCACUCUCUGCAAGCAGCAGGAUCCAUUUCACUGCUGUUACAAUUUGAUCAUAGGAUUCACCCAUCAUCUGGCAGGUGCCUCUGUACCUCCUGUGGCAUGUGGCAUGGAAAGUCUAAUGAACUGUGGGUAGGCCCAAUGCUCACAGGCUUCUGUCCCAUGUGUGAGCCUUACCUCUUUGUGCUAUAAAUGGAGGAAAACAGGAAGUUGUUGCAAGAGACCUGCCUUCAAGUCUAUAGAGUCCCCCAUUUCCCUUGGAUCUGUGUGGCUAGUCAGCUAGAAGAUGGCCACCAGAGGGAAGGAGAGUUGCCCCUGUCAGGGGACAUGCUGGAAGCAGAUGGGCUGAGAGAGUGAGACCUACUGGAGAAGCCCCUCCGCAGGUGGUCUUCUGGUCCUGGCCAAUUCCACCAGCACCGUCACCCAAGGGUGGCAGGACAUUUUCAUGCACUGACCCUGCUGAAUGAAUGUCUUGGAACCUGUGUUCUUUAGUUCUUUGCUUUCUGCUGGCUUCUUUCCUAUCUGUUCAGUGGUCAGAGAUGAACCUUUUUUUGAGGAAAGUUGACUUUAUUUUUUUUUUAAAGAUUUAUUUAUU